GAUAGCCAAGGAUAUACAGAAAAACGCUGUCUCAAAAACAAAGGAAAACUGAACUAAGACAGACAUACAAAUGUUUACACUAAGGAUAGCUAAUAGUUUAGGCUCCUAGCAGUUGAGAGUUAUUACUAAAGACAGCCUCUACUUAUAUUGGUACUCUUCUAAAGUUAUUUGCACUAGUUAAUCUCCCAAGAUCCCCGUGAGUAGGUCACAGGUUUCUCUGCCUCUGGCUCUCUCAUGGACUUGCUGGUGGCUGCUUGACUGACUGGAAUUUCCAAGUCUCCUUCCUGACCAUGCUCACAUCUAAUGGAGGUUGAAAAUAAAAACUGUAAGUGUGCACACACUGGAUGCUCUUGACUGGUGCCCAGCUCCCAUUAAUAUGCUGCCACAUACUUGAGUUUAACUGAUGUCCCAACCCUGAGGCAGUUGACCAUGGGCUGUCAGUUGGCUUGCCUCACAUUAGCCAAGCUGGGGUCAUUCAGGGUAAAGCAAUGUCCUAGCUCCUACUCUUCUCAGCCUAUGUAAGAAGGAGAAGACAACCCUUCCCUCUGUGUGGGCUGUAUGGUUACAGAACUCCUGCCGUUUGCUGCCCCAAGACAACCCAGGGAUGUCGUGACUGACAUAUGGGCAAAUGCAGGAACAGAAUCAAGACCACCAGACCGGAGGCCCCAUGGCUUCCAAGCCUCUCUCCUCCAGGAGGACCACCCUCUCUAAGUGUUCCAACCGAUUACAGUUUUGAUACCUAGAUAAAUGUUUUUUUUCCCCAAUGCAAAACCUUGUGAACUUACAGGUAAAGCAAGACUGAAAGUGUCACAUUAGACCAUUUAAGGGCUGUCAUGAAUUCUGAAGCAAUCUAAUCCUGUUUUGGUGUCCUGUGGACAAGCACCAGCUUGCCAAUGGAAGUGGAGGCCUGGACGGGUAACCCAAGGAAUACUGGUCCCAAGGGCUCCACAGAGGAGCCAGUGCUACAGCCUGAAGAACAGGGCUUGGGUCCCACUACAGUGGGAGUCUGCAUUCCCAGGCCAUACUUCCUGGGCUCCAGUCUCACCUAGCCUGCUCCUUUGGGUUAGCUAUUUGACCUCAAUAAUGAACUGAUGAUGACUGAGGUAAGACUAUUUCCUCUGAAUUGAAACUGCCCCCCUAAGGGGGGAGGGAGGUUUCUAAGAUGCAGGAAGCUGAGGAUACUUUCCAAGCCCAGAAAGUUCGAAAGACAAGACUUACAAGUCGCCUAUCAAAAGUUUUAUUUUGUUUUUUGUUUUUUUCCUUUUCCUUUUGGUGCGUGUGCAUGUGUCUCUGAGUCUGUGUGACACAUGACCCAGUGUUCAUGUGGAAGUCAGAGGACAACUUUUAGGAUUUGGUUUUCUUCUGUCAUGUGGGUUCUGGAGAUCAAAAUCAGAUCCUCAGACUUGUUCCACAAGUGCUUUAGCAUGCUGAGCCAUCCCUCCAGUCCCAGAAGUUUUAUGUAGGAGCAGAAAGCAAUUGCUGAGAGAGAAAAGGCUCUUCAGUGGAAGUGCCUACAAGCUGUGCAAAGAAUUCUAGAGCUGCAGCUUCUGGGGGCUGUCACCCCCACUGGUGGAGGACUUCUGGCAAGACAGCUGCCCGAGUCUCUCAUGUUCCUAUAAAUACCCAUGCUCCUGUACAUAGGCCUAGUAAACUCACUGGCUUAUCAAGCUUGACUUCUUUGCAUUCACUUGCUUGUUUCUCAUUGGUGCCCUACAGGAGCAAACAGACAUUUCUUCACAUCUUCCCAGGAAAGGUCAUGCCAUAGAGGAGGCCUCUCCCAUCAGGAGCUUCAUAGCUGAGCACCAGGAUAUCAUGGAGACCAAGACAUCCCUCCUCUGUGGUGGUGGUGGAAAGGGCUGGGGACAGCAAUGAAACCUAACAGAAGGACCCAGAGAGAGCCCACCCUGUGGAACUUCUUGGGGUGAUGGACGUGUUGAGUAUCUUGACUGUGGUAGCGAUUCGGUGAUAGACAGCAUGUGUCCGUCCAGACUCACUGAAAUGUACACCCUUUAAAGAAACGACAAGUCUUGGGCUGUGCACAUGGCUUAGUUGGUAGAAUGCUUGCUUCGAAUGACACAAAGGCCUGUAUUUGACCCCCAGCUCUACAGAAAACCUAACGGCAGACCGUGGAAACAGAGCCAGGAGGCUCCUAAGUUCAAGGUUAUUCUAGGCCAGUGGUUCUCAACCUUCCUAAUGUUUGACCCUUUAAUACAGUUCCUCAUGUUAUAGUGACUCCCAACCGUAAAGCUAUGUCAUUGCUACUUCAUAAUUUUAAUUUUGCUGCUGUUAUGAAUCCUAAUGUAAAUAUCUGAUAUGUAACUCCCAAGGGGCCGUGACCCACAGGUUGAGAACUGUUAUUUUAGGCUAUAUACUGAUUCCAGAGCCAACUGGAUGCCAUAUGAGGCCCCGCCUCAAAACACUUGGCAAGCUUUAUGUUUGUAAUUCUUCAGUGUGGAGCCUGAUGCCUCCUGCCUCAUGCAGGUCAGGCAAGCUUUCCACCACUGGUCUAGAUCCCCAACCCUCUUUUUAUCUUUCAUUAGAGACAGAGUCUCACUGAGUUACCCAGGAUGCCUUGAACUCCUUCUGUGCUCAGGCAGGCCUUGAACUUGUGAUUCUUCUGCAUCUGCCUGCAAAGGAACUGAAAUGUCUGCCCUUAACAGGCCAUGUAAAAACUGGGGACCUUUACUAUAUAAAUAACAUCUUGAUAAAUCAUGAAAUUGUGUGGUCCACUCAGGAAGCAGAUGUAAACUGGGGAGCCCUAAACAAACAAGCACUGUAAGAAAUACUUCCAAGAACAAGAAUUUGACACUGGUGAGGGGGAGCCCAGGGAAGUAGGCAGUAACAAACCAGAAGGAACUGGGAGAUUAUUCUAGAGGGUAAGAGCAGCAGCUGCCAAGGUUCCUGUGGAGCAGUAGCAGGAUUCAUGGUGUAGCUGGAGCAUUGUCAGCAGAGGUAUAUGAGUGUGGCUGGGUGGAGAGAGUACAGUGAGGCAGAGCUGGGAGAGGCUAGACCAGCCCCUGCCUCGGCCUCAUUUUAGAACGUGAGGAAGAGAGUUGGGGGCCACUAAACAGAGGGUUGAGUUCCCAAGAGGUUCUGCCUCCGGGUCACUUGGUGCUUGGCUCCAGAUGGCCCUGGAUUCUCCUCGCCUCUCUCUGUUCAGGUCCUGAGAGGUUGGUAAUACGCACAGGAGCCUCAGGCCUGCACAGGAACUCACUUAGGUACACACACGCUCCUUCCCCUGUGUAUCAUGUAAAUGAAUGGUACUUGUCCUGCUUAGAGACUUUUCCUGCAAAUUCCACUCACCCAGAAAAUUCCAGUUACUGGAAACAAGGUAUAAUUCCACAUAGGAAGUUUUGUCUGUCUCUCUUACUGAGCCCUCCCAAGCCUGGCCGGCUCCACUUGGGCUGAGCUCAGUAGGAAGCUGCUGAUCCCUUAAAGGGCUAGUACUCAGAAAUUACCAUCUGACAGCAUCCCAUCGCAUCUCUGUGACACUGGAGUUCCCAGGAUCCCUGUGACUACAGUAACCAUUGGGCACCCACUGGACUCCCAGCAACUGGAAAAUAGGGAGCUAAAGGGAAGUGAGUGAACUCCACUCACAACCUCAGACUCAUCCCAGAAUUCCAGAUCCAUUGGCUAUGGGGAAAGCCUUAGAGGCCUUUCCCUGCCUUAUCUGUCACCCUUUAAGAUGCCAUCUUAGGAAGGGGAUGCAGGCUAAAUAUAACCUCAGUUUUCUAACAUAAUAAUUUGGUAGAACUGCUUUAUAGAAUCCUGGGAACCAGGGCCAGCAUCAAUCUGUCCCGGGGAGCUGGAUCACCCCAGCAGCCUUGCCUGGGCUGAUGUACUUGUAUUCUGGUCACCUGUGAACUCUGCAACAGCUUCUCUCUGUAGCAGUCCAGCCGAUUUAUUGGUGUCACCACCACCUUCUGGGAUGCUGAGGCUUAGGAAGCCAUAGAGGGUGACAGGGGAUGGUGAUAUAUCAGGCUUCUGGAGUCAGUAAGCCAAGGUUACAGAAACAUGGCUAUUACUAGACAAAUGGCAUUCUUUGUGAACAGUAUUUCCUUGGGUGAGAGCAAAACCAUCAAUUGGUCCUAUCCAUUCUUGUUUGACAUCUGUCCUUCUUCAGCAAGACCUCAUCCUUCCUACCCAAGGCUCUUAGACAAGUCACCACCUCCACCAACCUUCCCUCAUUGUACGUCCCCUUUAGAGAGCUUGGAGGCUGUCUACCAGCAUGGGAUGGGGAAUACACAGGACACUGGUAUUGCCAAGAAGGGGAUGGACAUGAGGACAUGCCAGGGUAGGGUCUGGCUCAGGAGGUGGCUUAGACAAAGGGGUAAAGAGGGACACAGUUCCCAGUUGACUGAGGGGUGAGGGUUGCUCAAAUAGAUGGGCCUAGCCUGCCGUCACACUGUUCUCACAGAGGGUAGUCUAGGUGAGGUAAGGAGUGAUCCCUAGCCACAAGGUCACUGACCAUUUGGAAGCCAGAAGGGCUCCAAGCUAGGUGAUUGUUAACUGACCAGGGCAGCCAUCAUCUGGAAGUUCUGAAAACUGCUGUGUGGACUUCCUGUUUGUAUUGUUGUCUGUAUUGUAUUGUCUUCUUCUUUCCCUGUGUCUGGCCUUCUCUCCCAUCUCCGCUCUAUACCACCCACCCCCAACUAACUGAAAUGGAAGCUGUCACCUGAGCUCUAGCCUCAGAGACGCUCCCCUGGUAUAGGACUGCCUUCCAUUCCCAGGAUCUUUCUUGGGUGUAUAGUACCCACGAGCUGGGAUACUAGCUGCCAUGGAUCAUCCCGGAAGUCUCCUUCUUUGGGGUUCCAGUGGCCUCACUUUGGGUCAAAGGAUCAAGAGCUUUCCAUGCAUACCUGCAUGGCUCUCACGGGCUUUCCUUGAGAAGGGUUGUUGAGUCUACAUCAUGGUGAGUAACCUUUGUGUCCCUUUAUUCAACAAAUAUUGAUUGAACUCCUUUGCUGCUUUUGCCUUUGUGAGAGAAUGGCUUCCUAUGUACUUUCCAGCCA
rnacentral:sRNA from 1 species